UUUGCCCUACGGGGGGCAGCAGUGAGGAAUAUUGGUCAAUGGGCGGAAGCCUGAACCAGCCAAGUCGCGUGAGGGAAUAAGGCCCUACGGGUCGUAAACCUCUUUUGCCGGGGAGCAAGGGCCGGGACGCGUCCCGGCCCGGAGAGUACCCGGCGAAAAAGCAUCGGCUAACUCCGUGCCAGCAGCCGCGGUAAUACGGAGGAUGCGAGCGUUAUCCGGAUUUAUUGGGUUUAAAGGUGGCGUAGGCGGGCUUUUAAGUCAGCGGUAAAAAU
rnacentral:rRNA from 1 species